UUUGUGCUAUAAAGUAAGCUAAAUUAAGCUUACGGGUUCAUACCCCGUAGAUGGUAAUCACCC
rnacentral:tRNA from 1 species